rnacentral:rRNA from 1 species
AGAGUUUGAUCAUGGCUCAGGAUGAACGCUGGCGGUAUGCCUAACACAUGCAAGUCGUACGAGAGUUUUUAACUCUAGUGGCGGACGGGUGAGUAACACGUGAGAAUUUACCUUUAGGAGGGGGAUAACAAUUGGAAACGAAUGCUAAUACCCCAUAUGCUUCAGAGUGAAAUGGAUUUAUAUUUAUCCGCCUAAAGAGAAGCUCGCGGCUGAUUAGCUUGUUGGUAAGGUAAGAGCUUACCAAGGCGACGAUCAGUAUCUGGUUUGAGAGGACGAUCAGACACACUGGAACUGAGACACGGUCCAGACUCCUACGGGAGGCAGCAGUGGGGAAUUUUCCGCAAUGGGCGAAAGCCUGACGGAGCAAUACCGCGUGAGGGAAGACUGCCUAUGGGUUGUAAACCUCUUUUUUCAGGGAGGAAUAAAAUGACGUGUACCUGAAGAAUAAGCAUCGGCUAACUCCGUGCCAGCAGCCGCGGUAAGACGGAGGAUGCAAGUGUUAUCCGGAAUCACUGGGCGUAAAGCGUCUGUAGGUGGUUUAAUAAGUCAACUGUUAAAUCUUGAGGCUCAACUUCAAAAUCGCAGUCGAAACUAUUAGACUAGAGUAUAGUAGAGGUAAAGGGAAUUUCCAGUGGAGCGGUGAAAUGCGUAGAUAUUGGAAAGAACACCGAUGGCGAAAGCACUUUACUGGGCUAUUACUAACACUCAGAGACGAAAGCUAGGGUAGCAAAUGGGAUUAGAUACCCCAGUAGUCCUAGCCGUAAACUAUGGAUACUAGAUGUUGAACAGAUCGACCUGUGCAGUAUCAAAGCUAACGCGUUAAGUAUCCCGCCUGGGAAGUAUGCUCGCAAGAGUGAAACUCAAAGGAAUUGACGG